rnacentral:rRNA from 1 species
UACAGAGGGUGCGAGCGUUAAUCGGAUUUACUGGGCGUAAAGGGUGCGUAGGUGGCAAUGUAAGUAAGAUGUGAAAGCCCUGGGCUUAACCUGGGAAGUGCAUCUUAAACUACAUAGCUAGAGUAUGGUAGAGGGUAGUGGAAUUUCCGGUGUAGCGGUGAAAUGCGUAGAGAUCGGAAGGAACGCCAGUGGUGAAGACGACUACCUGGACCAAUACUGACACUGAGGCACGAGAGCGUGGGGAGCGAACAGG